UGCAAAUAUAGUUCGUAUACGUCUAGUCGCACGCAUACAAACACCGUGUUGAAGUCUGCUGAACUGAAACGACGUUAGACGAUGCAUGG